UACGGGGGGGGGCAAGCGUUGUUCGGAUUCACUGGGCGUAAAGGGUGCGUAGGUGGCCAGGUAAGUUCGGUGUGAAAGCUCGGAGCUCAACUCCGAAAAGUCAUUGAAUACUAUCUGGCUGGAGGGUCGGAGGGGAGACUGGAAUUCUCGGUGUAGCAGUGAAAUGCGUAGAUAUCAGGAGGAACACCGGUGGCGAAGGCGGGUCUCUGGGCCGAUACUGACGCUGAGGAGCGAAAGCGUGGGGGAGCGAACAGG
rnacentral:rRNA from 1 species